ACGGCAAAGAAACGAUGUACCUUCCAGAU
rnacentral:sRNA from 1 species